rnacentral:lncRNA from 1 species
GCCUAUCUUGCUGUUUCAUUGGCCAAACAGAACCUUAUUAAACAAUCAAUAAGAUAACAUACACAGAAGUACUUCCCCAUCAGUUUUCUGUGUGAGCCUUUGAUGAUCUUUAAUGUCAAGAAGAUUUCCCAUGCGCCACGGACAGGUAUUAUAAUAACUCUCAAAUAUACAGGAGGAAGAAGACAGUGUGGUUCAUUAGAUUCUAUACUUUGCAUGAAACCCAGUGCAUCACAUCAUCAGUUCCUUUGUGAGCAUUGGACAGAAAUUGUAAGUAAGGUCACUGUGUCUAUGAAGCAGAAAGCUCCUACCCAUGUGAAAGAGACUGGGAUUUUAUCCAGGAAGAGACUGCUGUCAUUUUAUGAUUCAACACGAAAUGUCUUUUGAAUUGUUUCUUGGCAGUGACUCAGAGUAAGGAAUUUUUGUGGAAGUAAACAAAGUCCACACAACAAUGCUCCCAAGUGAUUGGGUAAGAGUCCUUGGCUGUUAGCACUUCCAGGAGGCCUUUAAAGUUUCUCAUAGCAACGGCUCAGUAGCAAGGUAAGGUCUGAGUCACAGAGGAACUCUGGAUCAGGCAGCAGUCUAGUUACAGGAAAUUCAUAAUCCAAGCCCAAAUGGGAACUUAUAAGAAGAGCAAUAUGAUGAACCAGUGAACUCUUGAACUUCUUGUCUUCCUGUAGAAUGUAUUUAAACAGAGUUUGGCCCUACUGGUGGGGGUUAAAUAGCCCAGGGAGGAUUGGCAGAAAUAUAAAUUCAUAUACUAUUCUAACUGAAGAGUUCUUAGCAUUAUUUUUAUUGAGAACCUUUUCACAUUUGCAGAUGUUUAGAUUUUUUUUUUAAAUUUAAAAAUAAGACAUUCAGGAUUGCCAAGGAGAAUUCAUUAUUGAAACAUCACUGAUUUAGAAAUGUAAUACAGUAAUAGAUGUACCUAUUAAGUUAUGAGUCAGAUCAACUCAUCCAGUGGGUCUAGUAACUCUUGUCAUAUCAAAAUAGUGCUGUAUAAAAACAACAUUCUGGAAUUUCUGUGGCAGCUCUAAUGGGCUGUUAUUAAAAUAUUUAUAGUUUGUUUUGGUAAUAAUGUCACAGCUCUUAUAAUACCACUAAAGGAUAUUGUCCAUAUUCAUCUUGGAAGUGGAAAUGCUACCUUCCACUUAGAUGUUAGCUGGACCAAAGGGUCUUGUUUUAUAUUUUUCCCAUGUAAGUUUGCAAUCUUCUUCAUUCUAUCCAUAAUCCCCUGAGAUCUGGAAUAGUAGGUUAGACAUGCCUGGUUUGGCUUAAGCCAUGCUGGUCCACUGAUUGGGUGGCCAGUUGGCUUUCUGGCUUGUUCUAUGUAUAUUGUAUAGGACCUUGAUUGGGGUUGGGGUAGGGACCGGUAUACUCUGGGUCACUUCCCCAGCAGGGAGGCAUUGGUAGAUGGAUGGGGAGAGAAAGUUAAGAAUCAAAGUGGGUUCCCUGGUCCAAAGACAUGGCCUGAUGCUUCUUUGGUCUUGAGAAUGUCACCCUUUUGCCAUUUCUUCCUGUAGGACUUGAAGGAUUUCCAGCCUGUAGAGAUUCCCAAGUCAGUACUUCUCUGUGGACCAUCUUAAUCCUCCUUGAGUGGGGUGGGGAAAAGAGAACAAUAUGCAAGAACCUAGGGGAGGGGUUGGGACACAGAGAGGCCAAAGGCUGGGGAAGAAGGAGGUGAGUGGACCUCAGACAGUGAGGAGAAACCGUUCAACCUAGAAUUCUAUCCAAGCAGAAUCACCUUUUACUGUGACUUAACUGACAGAAAGAUGCCCAGUGCCAUCCGUGUUCCUGGAGUGGUUUUGUUUCUUCUACAUUCAUGGUCCUUGGUUUUCCUCAGAGGUUCUGUUUCUUCUUUCAUUUUUUGAGGCUAUUUCAGCUGCUUGCCUAACAAAGCUCAGUUUAGAAAUGAGAGCCUUCACUUUGAAGGCCAAUUUGGAGCAGAGAGAGUGAGGGAGGACCUGGGGCCCUAAAGGUGGGUGAGGCUGCUAAGGCCUCUGGCUGCUCUUGCAGCACUCCCCUGAGUCUGGACGCUUGACUCUGUAGCUUCCAGAUAUGAGAUCAUCAGGAUGUGAUGGCCUCAGGCAGAGGCUACCCAGUAACAGAUGGCAAAGAACAGUCAUGGCUCCAUAGUCAGGGGAUAAUCAAAGGACUUGUUCUGUGAUGCGUCAGUAGGUGUGUGUGUGUGUCUAAAAUGUGAUGGUUUCAUGCAUUUACGUCUGUCAUUUGUUUCUAAACCAAGGAGAGAUGUUUUAGGUUUAUAGUUCAAUUUGGGAAAGAUAAUAAAUGAAAAGCUAAUCCCUUUGCA